UACCUUUGCUAUAUUUAAUAUUUAUAUCACUUAAAUUCCAGUCAAAUAAAUGACAUUUUCCACUCAAAUCUAUAUCCUAGUGAACUCGAUAUUUCCAAAUCUGAACUCACCAACAUAUCUUCCCCUCCUCUUCCUUCCAGUAACUUUUCACAUUUUCCUAGUGUCUACCAGUGUUUUCGAGGGUAUGUUUGGUCAAAAUGUUAAAGCCACUCUCAUUCACUCCAGUCUUUUAGGUUUCUUUCCCUCUAUAUCUGAUCAGUCACUAUGGCUGUAAAGAAGUUUGGGGAAGCAUUUUCUUUUUAUUGGGGGUGGGGUGAAGGAGAAAAAGAUAGCUUUAUUGCUUUGCCAGGCAAAGGGAGCCACAGCAAGCCUUAAAGACUGUGCCCCUGAGGAAGUAUUUCUAAUCUUAGGUACAUCUGCUUUCAUUGUAGCUCUGGGUCUUCAAACCUGGCAAUUUUUUUUUAAUUAUUAUGUCAGCUUCAGAACUGCUUAUUCAAACCGUAAUUACUCAUUUUCCCAACACUCCGAUGCCAUAUUUUCCUACUUCUUGCACUAAGUGAGUGUUCUGCUCAAAGGCUUCUAAUUCCUCUUUUAUUUUUUUUCUAUCAUAUUCAAAGUCAUGGCCUUUUGUGUCCUUCAUAGUCUAAGUACAUGCUAACAAAUGAUCAUAUUUUUUCCCUAUCUUAUAAAAGGUGCAAACUUAUAGAAGCUUUUCCAACUUUACACACAUUCCUUUUGCCUUCUAAUGUGUCAUUUUUCCUGAAUUGCAUCUUUUCUACCUCAGUUGUAAUACAAUUCAUUCUUCAAGACCUAAUUCACAUUUAAAGUCUUCCAUCCUUCUCUGAUUAUUGUACCCCAUUACUAUUCCCUUCCUACUCUGUACUUCUACAGAACUAAUGACUUCAUCGCACAUGCCACACUACCUUUGAAUAUCUAUUUUUUAAAAUUCAGGACGUAAUAUAAACUCCUUGAAGCAGGAAUGUGCCCUAUGUAAGGGUAAUAAUAAUACUACUCUAGUGAUAGUAAUAAUAACAACAGCAAUCAUAACAUUGAGCACAUGUUAUAUAUAUUUUCUACUUUAUAUCUUACAAAACCAAGAGGAGUAGAUGUUAUAAUUAUUAUUCCCAUUUUAUAUAUAAAGAAAUGAGAUACAGAGAAUUUUAGAAAUGUUUACAAGGAAAUAGAACUACUGAAUAGCAUGGGCUGUAUUUAAAAACAUGUUGCGUGUACUCUGUGCCUAUGGUUUUAACUAUGUCCUUAUGUUACUUUCUUCCUAUCAUCCAUGUAUAGAGCUCACAUCUCAAUGCAAGGGACAAUCUCAAAUUGUUUUUGAUAAAAUGAAUCAAAAAUCUUGAAACAAUAUUCAAUGAUUGCCAAGCAACUUUUAUAUCAUUUAGACUGCCUCUCACAAUGAUGAAACACCUUAUAAUCCCUGGGUUUUACUACUAACUUUGUUUCUUCACAUCCCUACUUUUCUCUUCAGCUGCAUGGAUAAUUACCCAGUGGCCCAAAUGCUGUGACAGUGAGGUUUCAUUAAAGCUAAAACCAGUAAAGCUAAAACAUCCUGAGUGCUCAGCAGUGACAGUGUCAGUAAGCAAUUAAUCUCCAACAGUUCACCUACCAUGUACGAACUUCAGAGCUCAAUUCAGCACCUCACAUGACACUACAUCCUAAUUCCCUCCUGGAGUAGAAAGUCUGAAAGGUAAAAAUGGAACAUCAAGAAAAUAGUAAGAAAUAUAUGAUGCAGAUAAAAACAGUUUUUCAUCUGUGCAAAAAUAUGAUACCUUUUUUUUACAGAAAAGAAUAAUUCCUAUCUUGGAACUUUUAAAAUUGGUAAAUUUUCAGCUUGCCUCAUUUUCACCCUCUGCAAAAUAGGUUUAACGGUAUUUGUGCAUUACAGAAAGACAUGGUAGGAUUUAAUUAGAGCUUAUAAAGCAUAGAGGGAGACGCUGUAAUUACUUUGCCACUCACCUUUGUCAUUUAGCUUUCCUCAAGGGGACCAUGCCUUUUAUCAGUUGUAAUGUCAAAGAAAACCACAGAACACCAUGCGAUGUUAUUGUGGAAAAGGAUUUUAUGCAGCCAUAAAUAAGUAGUAACAUAAGGCAAUGCCUGGCAAGAUAAAAUUCCAAGCAUAGAAAUGCUGCAAAAAUAUAACACCAGACUUUGUCACUGUGUCAGCUUUUACCUUUCCCUUACCCUCCUAGAGCCUAAUCCCAAGAGAAUAGUGCCAGAGAGAUCUUUUAAAAUAUAAGACUUCUUACAAAGAAAAAAAAAAAGUGGUGAUGGAUGGGUUAAUUACCUUGAUGGGAAAUCCUUUUCAGUGUAUACAUAUACCAAAUCUUUAAAUAUUUUACAACUGUAUUUGUAAAUGACACCACAAUAGAGCUGAACAGAGAUAAGACUAUAUCUUUAUAUAAGACUAAUAAUGAAAUUUUGCUUCUCAAACUCCCAAUAGACCAUCUCACUGAGAGCAAAAGCCAAAGACCCUACUGAAGGUCACCUAAAGAGAUGUGUGCUCUAAGCCUGCUCUUACUUCUAACCACAAAUGACAUUCUCUCUCAAGUCAAACUGGCUUCCCUACAGGCAAGUGUCCACCUCUCUCGGAAUCUGCACCAGCUCUUUCCCAAUCCUUGAAUGCACUUUAGCCAGAUCUCUGGACGGCUUAAUUCCCUGUCUCUCCUUCAGGUUUUUACACAAAUGAUCCCCUAACAAUGAAGUCUUGUUUGCACACUAUUUACAAUUGUAUCCUGGCCUUUGCAUUUUCUAAUGCUUCUCCCUUCUCAAUUUAUUCCCUAGUCUUUAUCACCAUAUGCCAGACUAUAGAUUUCAAUUAUUUGUUUAUUGUCUAUUUCUCCCUACUAGGUUACAAGCUCCAUGAGCAUAGGGAUAUUGAGUCAUUUUGUUUACUGAUUUAUUCCCAGUACCUAGAAAACUGCCUGUCACAAACUUGGUUUACUGAGAUAAACAUUUAUUGAAUGAAUAAAUGAAAUGGAAAAGUUUCAGAUCUCAGAAUGUUAAUGAGGUCGCAUGAAACAUAGUCAAUCAGGGAUUCUCAACAGAAGGAAAAAUGUCCAAGUGAUUUUACAGAUAAAAUCCUUAUUUUCCGUAUAUUAUUUGUUGCUAUAUUAAAAAUCAGAGAGGUGGAGCAAGAUGGCAGAGGAGUAAGAGGUCGUGCUCACCCUCUCCCAAAAACACAUCAAAAAAACACAUCUACUUGUAAAACGACUUGCACAGAACAUCAACUGGAUGCUGGCAGAAGAACUUAAACCUCCAAAAAGGGCAAGAAACUUUUGACAUAACUGGGUAGAACAAAAGAAAAAAAAGAGAGAGAGAAAAGGAAUCAGGACAGAGUAGCAUUCCAGACAGGGAGCUCUGAAGAAAAGGAACCCAUGUUCUGGGAAGCCACCUAUGAGGGAAAGAUCAGCCGAGUCAUGGGACCUGAAAGUCACCAAGAAAAGCACAGCAGCUGGAGUGAGAAUAGCAAAGCAGAGUGAGAGCCACACAGAUCAUCUGAACCACCGGCCUGAACAGCACAGCCUGAGAUGCUCGGGUGGGGGCUGGGUGCUGAGACUCAGGUUCCAAAGGUAGCCCUGGGGAGAGGACUGGGGCUGGCUGUGUGGGGACAGCCCAAGGGGGUAAGGAGCAGUGAGCUACAGGCUAGGGAGCAGUAGCCAUGGGAUGAGUUGGGGAACACCAUGGCAGAGGGAGGCCAGGAGAAGGUCCGGACCUGCAGAGAGGCAAGGUGCCAUUGUUGGGGAGAGUGAGAGGAGGAGGGGUGGACUGCCAUAGGAAACUCCCCUGCACCAAACCUGCACAUGCCCCUGGGCUUAGAGGGUGGGUGGCUCUGCGCAGGGAACAGGCAGGUGGUGAGAAGCCUCUUGCUUGUUUAGGGGAGAUUGGGCACUCCUUGUGCAGGCUACCAGUGGCCAGGACCUCUUGUUCUGGCAAAGGCAUCAGGGGGCUACGUGCAAUAUGAUGGCUCUUGCAUGAUCUACAGGUCGCAGGGACAGACUGCUGCAGUCAUCUCAGAGGUCAGAAGGAGGCAUGGCUUGCCACCACUGGGGGCCUGUGAGUGGGCUCCACCUGCAACCCCAGUCACCUCAGCAGUUGGCAAAAAAGAAUAAAAGAGGGCACUGCAAUCAAGCACCAUACACUGCUACUCUCACUCCUCUGGGAGCACACCCACCCUGCAGCUGCCUCUGUCAAACACACUGGGUGGCAACCAGACACUUGGUCACUGUCCCUUCCCAAGACCCUACAACUAGAAGCAGCUAGUGUAGCACUUCCUACCUGGGCUAAGUGGGACAGGGUGCUUCUUGCGUGGUCUGAAGUUAUCCCUGAUUCCAGAGGUGGGCAUGGCCCACCACCACUGGGGAUACCUGAACAAAAAUCACUUGCAGCCCCAACCAUCUCAGAGGGCACCGCAGAGAAGGACAUUGCAAUGGAACACAACCUGUUGUUGCACUCUCUCCUCUGGGAGCACACCUGCCCUGCUGCUGCCCAUGCCAAACACUCUGGGCAGUGGCCAGACACUUGAUCACUGUCCAUUCCCAGGAACCCACAACUAGGAGCAGUUUGUGCAGCACCUCCUGUGGCGGCUAAGUGAGACAGGUUGCUUCAUGAAGGGUCUACAGGUGGUGGGGGCAAACCACCACAGUUAUCGCUGACUCUAGAGGCCCGCUCCCACUAGGGGUCCCUGAACAGGCACCACCUGUGGUUCCAUUUACCUCAGAGGAGGGCAUUGCAAUCAAACACAAGCUGUUGUUAAUCUCACUCCCUUGGGAACUCACUCACCCUGCUGUUGCUACUGCCAAAUGCUCUGGUCACCUUGAUGAUCUGCCUAGAGCUAAUUACCACUUCCCAGGAUCCUGCAACUAGGAGGAGCCUGUGCCACCUUCCUGAAGGUCCUUGCUGCAGUUGAGAGCCCAAUGAUCAGGCACUGACUGCUGGCCCUACCCAUCGCCUCCUUCUCCCUGAAAACACACUGAGCAUCCUGGGAAUAAGAGCCUGCUCACACCAAGGAAAGAGACAGCAAAUAUUCAAACUCCCACAC
rnacentral:lncRNA from 1 species